CUACGGGCCGCUGCAGUGGGGAAUAUUGCACAAUGGAGGAAACUCUGAUGCAGCAACGCCGCGUGGAGGAUGACACAUUUCGGUGCGUAAACUCCUUUUAUAUGGGAAGAUAAUGACGGUACCAUAUGAAUAAGCACCGGCUAACUCCGUGCCAGCAGCCGCGGUAAUACGGAGGGUGCAAGCGUUACUCGGAAUCACUGGGCGUAAAGCGCGCGCAGGCGGCCUUUUAAGUUGGAUGUGAAAGCCUAUGGCUCAACCAUAGAACUGCAUCCAAAACUAUCAGGCUAGAGUGUGGGAGAGGAAGAUGGAAUUAGUUGUGUAGGGGUAAAAUCCGUAGAGAUAACUAGGAAUAUCAAAAGCGAAGGCAAUCUUCUGGAACAUUACUGACGCUGAGGCGCGAAAGCGUGGGGAGCAAACAGGAUUAGAUACCCGCGUAGUC
rnacentral:rRNA from 1 species